UCACUUACCUGGACGUGGUCAACGAGAGAUCAAGAAGUCUCAUGGCCUAGAUCGGUGGCCUACAUUGCACCUUGUGAGCGCGCACUGCUUUAUCAUCUUCCUCUGGAAGAGUGGACGUCAUAAUUUAUGAUAGAGGGGGUACGCGUUCGCGCGGCCCUUG